GUGGGGAAUAUUGGACAAUGGGCGCAAGCCUGAUCCAGCCAUGCCGCGUGAGUGAUGAAGGCCUUAGGGUUGUAAAGAUCUUUCAGGUGGGAAGAUAAUGACUGUACCACCAGAAGAAGCCCCGGCUAACUCCGUGCCAGCAGCCGCGGUAAUACGGAGGGGGCUAGCGUUGUUCGGAAUUACUGGGCGUAAAGCGCACGUAGGCGGACUGGAAAGUCAGGGGUGAAAUCCCGGGGCGCAACCCCGGAACUGCCUUUGAAACUCCCAGUCUUGAGUUCGAGAGAGGUGAGUGGAAUUCCGAGUGUAGAGGUGAAAUUCGUAGAUAUUCGGAGGAACACCAGUGGCGAAGGCGGCUCACUGGCUCGAUACUGACGCUGAGGUGCGAAAGCGUGGGGAGCAAACAGGAUUAGAAACCCCGGUAGUCC
rnacentral:rRNA from 1 species